rnacentral:misc_RNA from 1 species
UCCUCCUUACAGAGGCAGUUUGUUCCGAGUUCCCGACUUUACUCGCUGGCAACAGAACAUGAGGGUUGCGCUCGUUGCGGGACUUAACCCAACAUUUCACAACACGAGCUGACGACAGCCAUGCACCACCUGUGAUGCAGCCUCGAAGGCGACUCCGUUUCGGGAGCUUCCAGCACCAUGUCAAGCCCUGGUAAGGUUCUUCGCGUUGCAUCGAAUUAAGCCACAUGCUCCACCGCUUGUGCGGGCCCCCGCCAAUUCCUUUGAGUUUCAACCUUGCGGCCGUAGUCCCCAGGCGGUUCACUUAAUGCGUUAGCUGCGGCACCGAGGGGAACCCCCGACACCUAGUGAACAUAGUUUAGGGCCAAGACUAC